AUUAAUUUUUUUCAAUUUAAUCGAUUUAAAUUAAUUAAAUCAAAAAGAUUUCAAAUCAAAAUUAAUCAUUUAAUCGAUUACAACAAUUGACAAGAUCUAAAAAUAACCAAGUAAGUGCAAAAAUAACCUUUAAUUUGAUUUAAAAAUAUGAAACCUUUUUUAGCUAGAAAACAACAACAAAGAAAUUUCUUAUUUAUUUAUUUUUCGUUUAAAAUCUAUUUUAGGAAAUCAUUUCAGAUGAAAAUAACCCCGGAAAAUUUUGUUACCAAGCGGCUACAAUUAAAUUUUAUUUAGUAAAUAAUUAGAACAAAGAAGCAUAGAAUAACGCUUUUUGUGUAGUUAAAAGAUAACGAGAUAAGUGUUCCUACAAAUAACGAGGCGAUUUCGGUUUAACCGAGGCAGUAUAAAGCGGGACGGAACGCUUUUAACGCUUCAGUUUUAAUACAACGGUGAACGCGAAUACACAAAAAUGAAAUUACCCACUUUAUUCAAAAGUGAUUCUUCGGUUUCCGACAUGUCCACACAUUCGAAACGUUCCAAAACCAAGCUACAACCCCUCGAACUCUUUGUUGGGAACAUUUCCGAAGAAUUAGAAGCUCCGUUAACAUCCGAAAUAGUCUUUAGAAAAAUUUGGAGGAUUCGUAAAUUCAAAAAAACAAUUUCACGAAGAGAAACUAUUGAUAGUCCAAAUUUCCGUUGCUCCGUCAAUGGGCUUACGACUUAUUGGAAUAUGUCGAUUCGUUUUUGGAAAGGCCCUAAUGGAAAAAAAGUAACUAAUCCGGUCGUUCUUUGUCUCAACUUAACGGGAUGCGAAACCGAAGAGAUUGGCCAAGCUCGAGUUCGAUUUCAAUUCGGCGUUUGGGACGCUUCGAUUAAACAUUGGGAGUGUUGCCCUAUUUCUAGCGUUGUUUUAAACUUGGAAAAUACCCACGAAUUGCACUCGAUCGGUUAUAAGACUUUAGGAAUUUUAGACAGACAUUUAGAUAGUGUAAAAGAUGUUAGUAUUAUGGUCAAAAUUCAAGUGAUUCAAAGCGACGAGGAAAAACAUAGUUUAUCCCAAGACUUUGCCCGAAUUUUAUCACUAGAAAACGAAGAACUCACCGAUACCAUCAUCGACACUAUGGGCGAAGAGAAACCAGAAACUUUAAAAGCACACAGUUUAAUAAUUCGUUCGAGAAGUGCGAUUUUAGCAAGAAAAUUACGCGAUUAUUCAGACCCCAACAACAAGAACAUUAAAUAUCGAUUAAAUUUAACGGAAAUAAACCAUCAAAUAGCUCAAGAACUCUUCAGAUACAUAUAUUCCGACAAAGUGGAUAAUGCGGAAGCUUGCGUUAAUAAAUUAUUACCGCUCUCAACGCGAUUUAAUUUGCCUGGUUUGACAACUUUGUGUGAACGGGUCCUUUUAGAAAAUUUAACUCCGAGCAACAUUGGGAAUAUUCUUUUAUUAGCCGAUCAAUGCGGUUGCGAAAACUUGAAAAAAGCCGCUUUACAUUAUUGCGAGGAAUCAGACGAGAUCAAAGAUAGUGUACAAAUCGAAAACGAAAUGUGGACUUUAUCCUGUGAGGAUUGUCUACUCCACGAUAAGAUAAUGGAGAAAUAUUGCGGUGAAAGACGGAAAUCAUACGAUUUUCGAUGUAAUCUCAGAUAUCUAAGGACGAAUGGUUAAUAAAAUCAUUAUAAAACGGUGGUUAAGAUGAUAAAUCGAUUAUAAACUGAUCGUAAUCUGAGGUAAAACGUUAGCAUGGAGAGUAAUGGAAAUGGUUAAUCCAGAUUUAUUUCUCGAAGCAUGCGAAAGCAUCGGAAGUUCCUCAAGCAAUUUAG
rnacentral:misc_RNA from 1 species